AUUGAACGCUGGCGGCAGGCCUAACACAUGCAAGUCGAACGAGUGGCGGACGGGUGAGUAAUGUCUGGGAAACUGCCCGAUGGAGGGGGAUAACUACUGGAAACGGUAGCUAAUACCGCAUACCAUCGGAUGUGCCCAGAUGGGAUUAGCUAGUAGGUGGGGUAACGGCUCACCAAGGCGACGAUGCAUAGCUGGCCUGAGAGGGUGAUCAGCCACACUGGAACUGAGACACGGCCCAGACUCCUACGGGAGGCAGCAGUGGGGAAUAUUCGGCAAUGGGCGAAAGCCUGACAGAGCAACGCCGCGUGAGUGAAGAAGGUUUUCGGGUUGUAAAGCACUUUCAGUAGGGAGGCGGUAUCUAAAGAGGAAGCACCGGCUAACUACGUGCCAGCAGCCGCGGUAAUAC
rnacentral:rRNA from 1 species